UCCAACCUGGGUCAUUCUGUGAUUCUGUGAUGUUGCCUACAGUCCUCAUUUUAUUUUUACAUAGACAUGCCUGUCUGUUACAAUCCCUGCCCAAGCGCUCGUUUUUCCAUCAUUCUGAUCUAUGAGUUGUGGUCAGGUGUCCAAAGAACCGUGAAUGUGGUUGAAAACGCCACUUUUUUUUCUCUUCUGUUGCUCCUCCAGCAGAAGUCUGUAAUGCUGAUGGAUUCCUCAUGCAUCACAGAAAGACUUGCAAGUCUGCCUGUGGCUGCCUGAGCUUUUCAUAGUACUGACUUCACUGUUCAGUACCAUAUAAUUAAUCAUCAGAGUCACAAAGAUCACUUAAGAUGACCUAGUCCAACCAUCAGCCCAUGCCUGCGAACACCAUAGAACAUGCCCCACAGUGGGGCGAAGUGGCAACAACUGAGCAGUAGCAGUGUGUUUCAGGCUGCAAUGCACUCAUACCUGCUGGGCUGGAACAGGGCUGGCCCCGGGGUGCGCUGGCUGUUCGGGGCUGGUUGCUCCACAUGCUCUGCAUGCUAAGGGAACGCAUCUCUACUUCAUCCAGGUGCUGUGCCCACACCUGUAGAACCAAAGUUCAUAAAGCAUUGAAAUAACGUUGCUUCUUCCACCACAGGCAUUCAUCCUUACCAGUGCCGUAACUUCAGAAGCGUCAUCUUUGAUCAGUGCACAAGUGAGCUUACAGUGCUGACAAAGGAUUCCUGUAAUGACUUAGGAAUGCUGUAAUGCAAACUCAGAUUUAUUACUUAACCACACAAAAGACACAUUCGCUUCCCUUGAACCUGAAGCCGUAGAACUGCUCAAGCCCUCCCUACUGAAAAUGAACUUAGCAAAGCACUAUUUGCAUUUGUAAAGCAAGUGCACAAAUCUUGGAAGGGCUGGGAAAGCUGGGAAGUUUUACAGUGAAUUUCUAAACAAAAUCUUUAUCUCAUUUUCAGUCCCUAAUUUUGCAAGAUGAAAAGUUCUUAAAAGCAAAGCCCUGAAAUUCCAUUGCCCAUCUUGCGUUAAUAUUAACCAAAUCUCAAGGGGGUAGGAGACAAAACACAUUCCCAGUUAUUAAAGACAGAUCAGGUUUAGCAUGAGUUUCCUCUAGAAGGCCAGUUCUUUAUCUGCUCACUCCUUGUUCAUAAACAAAAAUACCAAGAAGGCAGAGUGCAGUAUUUCUAAUUUACAUUGACUCAUAUUUGGGCAAGCUUAAGCAGUAAAAAAGCAAUUCCUUUUAUUUGAGUUCUGCAUUUAGACUCUUAAAAAGAUCACAUAAGUUAUCAGUCACCACAUGACCCUAAUAUUUUAAUCCAUUGCCUUCCAUAUGCUGUUUUUCUUAUCCUUAUCUGAAACAUCAGCUCUACCAUUAAGCUUAAAUCCUCCAAAUACUUAUGACCGUGCUCAGUUUUGGGCACAUGAAGAAAUCCAUGGGCAGCCUGGUUUAGUAUUAGAUAUGGAGGUUGGCAGCCCUGCCUACGGAAGGGGUCUUGGAGCUUGAUGAACCUUAAGGUCCCUUCCAACCCAAGCCAUUCUAUGGUUCUGUGUUUCUAUGAUUCUUUUAAGCUCUCAGACAUCAAUGUGAAAUUGCGGCUUUAAUUGGGUCACUGAAAAUAGGCCCAGUUGACUUUGAGAGAGCACUAGUGCAGAUUUUCCUAUUUGUCUUUGAGACACCAAGGCAGAGUUGAGCACUAAAAUGAUCUUUCUUUUCUUCUGCUAAUCUGUUCUACAGACGUCAUGCUCACAAAUUUAUUAUUUCCUUCUAAAGUAAUUACGUACAUCUGAUCAAAUUUUCCGGACUAAAAAGUUGACAUCCACAAAACUGCCCAGGACAAAAAAACACCCUCAAAAAACAACAAAACAAACAAACAACAAACCAAGCCACUCAAAUAGGAAGUUUCUUCCUCUAAGCAGCUGCUUUGCCAUGUUUUCUCAAGCUGUAUGGAGGGGAGGGCUGUGAAAUCCUGUUUGAGGAUCCUUCUUGGAUGGUAUUUAACAUGCUAUAAACAUCGUUAUUGAUGUAAUUAUGAGGAAUAUUUGAUUAUUUUGCUUCUGAGCUCUUCCCAUCUUCCUUGAGGGAAACAAAUAAAACAGGAAAGAAAACCACAACAACAACAACAAAAAAACAAUACAAGAGAAGUAAUAGAAAAUUCAGCCUUUGACUCUAGUAGAAGCCAGAGCUGUUUUGAAAGCAAAAGCUAGACAACAUGGCUUUAGCAGCUAUGUCAUCAGCUGGCAAAAUAUUAUGCCACUGGAAAUGUCAUUUCUCCUGUGCUCUUUUCAUCCAGGCUCACACCCGGUGAAGGACUGGGUGGAGUUGCCAACUGAACCAGACUCUCAGGAGACAGAAAGAGAUUUUGUGUCCCCAGGGGUGGCAAAGCAAAACCAGAAGACUAGAAUUGAUGACAAAGACUGUUUGACAUGGAAAUGCGCUCUUAUGAAGAUAGAUCAAUACUAUACUUUAAAAUGGAAAUAAAUAAGAGGAAAUUGAAUAAAUGCAUGCAGAAAAAUACUGAAAAGGUACUGAAAUAGAAUUGCCUUUUCUCACAACAAGUAAACAUUCAUCUAAUCAAAAGAUAACACAUUUAUAACUCACAAGAGGAAACAGGUAUUUUUCAGCUGUGUAAAUGCACACUGUGUGAACUCACUUCCAAAGAACGUCAUUCCUUCCAGAAACAGGAAGUUUGUGAGGGUAACAAGAACAUCAGGUAACACAAGUAGAAACCAAAAGAUCAAACAUGAUGCAUAAACUUCAUAUGUCGGGGAAUGUGCUGCUUUUAAAAAGCUGUAUGGCAAUAAGAGUGUUUUCAUAUGAGUAUACUCCAUUAUUUUCUACUGCAGGAUUUCCUGCUGUAAUGUAAAUCAAAUUGACAUUAACCUCUAUUGGAAAUAAGAUAUUAAGGUAUAGACUGAUUAAGUGUAUGACUGCCUGACCUCACUGUUACUCUUUCCAAAAGGUUUUCCUAAGCACAGAAGAGACAGCAUAUAAUAACCUGAAAUAGUUCUGUUCUCUGCAGUAUGUGCAGUGGAUAGAAAGUACACUCAGAGGACUGCAAAUGCUAAAAUUUCAUUGUCUACAGGAAACAAAAUUCAUAACCUUAAAGGGACACACUUCAUCAUUUGUGAGGUAUUGUAUUCUUGUACUGUUUCAUUCAGAAAGAGCUUUCCAUAAAAUCUAGUUCCUUUGCAAUUUUGAAUUAUCAAAAGCUGUUGAGGAGGGAAAAUUGUAAGACUACCUCUCAAAUACUGAAGCCAUGGAGUACAGUACUUAUAAGACAUAAUAUCCAGACUCACACCACAAUAGCAAAAAUCAUCAGACAUGCAUUAUCCUCUGAAUGUCUCAGUAAGUCUGCAACAGAAUUAGUAGAUUUAAAGAAACUUCCCCAGCCCAUUUUUUAGUUGACAGUAUGACUUUGGUUGUAGAGCCAGGCCUGCUGAUUUUCAUUGAUAUCAUAGAAUCAUAGAUAUACCAUCAGUCCAAACAGGCAAGGCACUCUCUGACUAUGAGCUUCCCAUCAUUAUGUGACAAAACAAGGCAUACUAUGGUAAAAAGGGGCUCCAAUUUCCCUACACACAACUGUUUACCAACACAGCUGCUUUGUCCAGAAUUGACAUCUCCACAUUAUGGGGCUAUGCUAAGAUACAGAGUCAUGGAAUUAUAGAAUCAUUUAGGUUGGAAUGAUUACCUUAAGGUCAUGGCAUUGAACCACUGACCUGACACUACCAUUACUGAACCAUGUCACUUAGCAUCACAUCCACAUGUUUCUUAUAUAUUUCCAUACAUAAUGAUUCUACCACCUCCCUGGGCAACACUUUUUGGCCACAUACAAAGGGAUGAUCCCUUCACUGAUUCUGCUGGCCACACCACUUCAGAUGCAGGCCAGUAUUCCAUUGGCCUCCUUGGCCACCACUUGCUUGCUGGCUCAUGUUCAGCCAGCUGUCAGCGGAUACCCCCAGGUCCUUUUCUACCAGGCAUCUUUCCAUCACUCUUCCCCAAGCCUAUAGGGUUGCUUGUGAUCCAUAUGGCAUUGGUGACCUCUGCUUCCUUUGGAGAACAAAAUUUUUGCUACACAGUUGGUCCAAAUCAGAGGCAGGAGGCCUCUGACGAAUAUAGAGUUCACCUCCUCUUUCUCUCCUUGUUUGGCAUAUUGUGAGGCCAGUUCUCAAAAAAUAUCUGAAAAGACAGACAGAACAAAAGCGAUUGGCAAAGAAUAAUACUCCAGAAAUAUUGCAGUUCAACUUUUCUUGUGCCAACUGACUUCAGCAAGGAUAACAAAGAAAGCUACUCUUUGUAGAGGGAGAAUCUCAAGGCACCUACAUACGACUCUCCUGGGGCCAAUUAUUCUGCAAGUAUUUCUCAGUGAUGCGGUGAGCAUAAAAGUUCUCACUAGACCAUGCAGGAAGGAUCUAAAUUUUUUUAAUUAAGUCCUGCUUAAACUCUGGUAGCUGUCAUUCUGCCUUUUAGAGCCAGGGGCUAACCCAACCGUAACCAAACC